rnacentral:tRNA from 1 species
AGGGAAGUGGUCUAGCCUGGUAUGAUUCCCGGUUUGGGACCGGGCGGCCGCGGGUUCAAUUCCCGCCUUCCCUACCA